ACGAACGCUGGCGGCGUGCUUAACCCAUGCCCGUCGAACGGAAAGGCCCUGCUUUUGUGGGGUGCUCGAGUGGCGAACGGGUGAGUAACACGUGAGUAACCUGCCCUUGACUUUGGGAUAACUUCAGGAAACUGGGGCUAAUACCGGAUAGGAGCUCCUGCUGCAUGGUGGGGGUGGGAAAGUUUCGGCGGUUGGGGAUGGACUCGCGGCUUAUCAGCUUGUUGGUGGGGUAGUGACUUACCAAGGCUUUGACGGGUAGCCGGCCUGAGAGGGUGACCGGCCACAUUGGGACUGAGAUACGGCCCAGACUCCUACGGGAGGCAGCAGUGGGGAAUAUUGUACAAUGGGCGGAAGCCUGAUGCAGCAACGCCGCGUGCGGGAUGACGGCCUUCGGGUUGUAAACCGCUUUCGCCUGUGACGAAGCGUGAGUGACGGUAAUGGGUAAAGAAGCACCGGCUAACUACGUG
rnacentral:rRNA from 1 species